rnacentral:lncRNA from 1 species
UCUCUAGCCGAGCACUUGAAACUUGUUACUCUUGGUGAUUGGCAUCACCUAGACGGCUAGGAGUCAGUGUUGAAGAGCAAUCGAAGCUUGUGAUUCGCCAUCAACCAGUCUGUGAAGGUCCGAAGAUCACCUCAAGAUCUACCACGAGUAACUGGGCGAGACUUAGGUCUUAGCUCAGGAGGAUUGGGUGGACUUGUGUGUCCGCGAGUCUUGUGUGACUCAGCCCCCUCAACGGA